CUUUGAUCCUGGCUCAGGAUGAACGCUAGCUACAGGCUUAACACAUGCAAGUCGAGGGGAAACGAUAGAGAAAGCUUGCUUUUUCUAGGCGUCGACCGGCGCACGGGUGAGUAACGCGUAUCCAACCUGCCCACCACUUGGGAAUAACCUUGCGAAAGUAAGACUAAUACCCAAUGAUAUCUCUAGAAGACAUCUGAAAGAGAUUAAAGAUUUAUCGGUGAUGGAUGGGGAUGCGUCUGAUUAGCUUGUUGGCGGGGUAACGGCCCACCAAGGCGACGAUCAGUAGGGGUUCUGAGAGGAAGGUCCCCCACAUUGGAACUGAGACACGGUCCAAACUCCUACGGGAGGCAGCAGUGAGGAAUAUUGGUCAAUGGGCGAGAGCCUGAACCAGCCAAGUAGCGUGCAGGAUGACGGCCCUAUGGGUUGUAAACUGCUUUU
rnacentral:rRNA from 1 species